CUUAGCGUCUUGAUGUCGGUGCUAUGCAGCAAAGCUGAGCGCUCCUACAGGGUCCGAACUGAACUAAAGGCUCCGAGCAGGAUGUACUUCCUCAGGUGCUUUAACAUCUGCAGCUCCAUGCUGAGGAUGUUCUAUGAGUCUAUGAGGGGCAGCAGCAUGAAUGUAGCAGACAGGAACAGACUGGACAAAGUGAUCAGGAGGGCUGGUUCUGUUCUGGGGUGGAGCUGGACCUCCUACAUGCUGUAGCUGAGAGCAGGACGCUGGUCCAACUCCUCUCUAUAGACGACACCUCCACCCCCACACAGUGUGUGGCUGGACAGAGGAGCCCCUUCAGCCACAGCUGAUCAGUAUUAGGUUCUCCACAGAACGCCACCGGAGAACCUUGCUACCAAGUGUGUGUAUGUGUAUAAGUGUUACCAUUUUAAUCUCUCCCACUUCCUUGUACCUCAGUUAACACAUGCUGGAUUCACUUUCCUUUGGACUCACUCAUUCUUCAUUCACUCAUUCUCCAGCUGCUGGACGAUCACGUCGGAGUUAGAAAUCUUCACAUUCAUCAUGACUGAACAUGUGGUGGGAAAUGUGAUGCAAAACUGAAAAGAGAAGAGGAGCAGGAGGAGGAGGAGGACUUUUCCCGUGGAGGACCAGCAGUUUGCGUGCAGCUAAAAAUAGGUUGAACUCCCAACCAGGAGGAUUCCAGCUGUGGGUGGGGUCUCGUAGGCCCCAGGCACAGGGACAACACCUACUUUGAGCAUAUUUAACCAGCGAGGAGGCUGAAUCCCAGCUAGACCCGAAGGAGGUGGACCUUUAGACAAGGAGCGAGCGCAGAGAGCGAUGCAGAACGAGGUUAGACAGAGACUCAACAGAUCCGAGCCGAGAUGUGCAGAGCGGCGCUGGCUGGACAUGCACGGCCUCCUCCUCCUGCAGACCUCCUCCCCUGGCCUGCAGCUGUCCAGCACCUCCUCCUCCCCCCUGCGCCCCCCCGCUCCCAGGCCCCGGCGCUGCCGGCGGGUCCUGUACCCAGACGGGCAGAGACCAAGGGCCCCACUGAAGGAGGCCCCCGACCGGGCCCUGCGCUGCCUGCUGCUCCUCUCCGCCCUCGUCCUCUUGCAGAUCUGCAACGAGGAGACGCACGCCUGCACAGAUGAGCCCCGGAUGAGUCCAGACCCGGGGAGGCAGCUGCAGGAGGACGCGAGCCUGGAGGCGGUGCAGGGCCAGAGCAGGGACGAGGCCUUGGGCCCCUGGACACCGGGUCGACUGAGGGUCCGACGGGUCGCAGCCUGAGCACGAGGAGCCGCUAACUUAAAACUGAAUGUCUACUAUUUAU
rnacentral:lncRNA from 1 species